AGGGUUGGGGAUCGUUUGGAUUUUAUUCGAUACCGGUGCUAAAACGAUACUUUAAAACAGUGCCGGUGCCUAAACUUAAAAAAUAGGGAG